GGCCCAAGGGACAUUUAAAAACAUAACAGCACAAACCACCCUCUUCCACUGCCCACGACGGCCGCGGUACUACAGAGCUCCAGCCGCCGAGAGGACGGACGCGAAGCCGCCGCCGGGUUUUCUGGGGGCGUUUCGGCCUCCGCAGCGCUUGGCCGGACCAGCCCCCUGAUGACUUCAAAACGCCACCGUGGUGAGCAAGAGGGGGCCUCCGUCCACGUCCGGAGGAUCUACCACCUUUGCUGGCUCAGGUGCUGUGGGAAAGAGGAUGCAGAGCAAGCUGCUGCAAGACACAAGCACAAGAUAUAUUCUGUGUAUAUUACGUACAUUUGGCAAAUCUUGAGAGAGGUAGAGUAGCCAUUACAAUCAUCCGACCUGCACAUGGUCUUCAGUGCAAUCUGCUGGAAGGACAGAACUGCUACAGAAAGCAACAAGAUGAUUUUGAAAUUUCAGAGUGAGAAAUCAAGAACAUUUAACGAAAUCCUUGUUACAUCUCUUUACUAGAAAAAGGUAGAGAAGAUAAAGACAAGUAUAAAGCUAUGGACAUAGACUGUAUCCACUGUGUAUGAUAUACUGUAUUCUUCAUGUCUCAUAAAGUGAAUACCUGAGUAUUUUAUUUACAGAACAGGGGAGGGAAGAACCAAAACUUGUCAUGCUUUUAUAUGCUUAAAUUUUACAAGUAAAAUUAUUUAGGAAACUGAUUUCUUGUUCAGGAAAUAGCUGAUAAAGUAUGUUCUGCACAUCAGUGUCAUGUUAUUCAUCCAGCCUCAUUUAGUAUAAACCUCACUGGCUGCUCAGAGUGUAAAAAUUAAGUAGGCAUACAUUAUUUUUGAUCUCCUUCAGCUGUAGCGUAUCACUAUGAGCAUGUUUGUAUGUAAGCUUCUACAAAAGCUUUCAAGAUUCCUGGUUUCACAAUUAAAGUGUUUCACUGGUUGAUA